rnacentral:rRNA from 1 species
GACGGGGGGGGCAAGUGUUCUUCGGAAUGACUGGGCGUAAAGGGCACGUAGGCGGUGAAUCGGGUUGAAAGUGAAAGUCGCCAAAAAGUGGCGGAAUGCUCUCGAAACCAAUUCACUUGAGUGAGACAGAGGAGAGUGGAAUUUCAUGUGUAGGGGUGAAAUCCGUAGAUCUACGAAGGAACACCAAAGGCGAAGGCAGUGUCCUGGGGAGUACCUGACGCUCAGGUGCGAAAGCCAGGGGAGCGAACGGG